AGGAAAGGGACUUGGGCUUGGAG
rnacentral:piRNA from 1 species